GAUUAUCAUAACCGUACCAUAUAUUUACGACUGCUACCUAACCUUCGAUUUCUAAACCCUAACUCCUUUCGCCUCUGCGUUUCGUCCUUGCCAGAUCGAAUUCGAGGGGAAAAUGAGUAGCCGUGCCAGCAGAACGGUCUAUGUGGGAAAUCUCCCGGGUGAUAUUCGUGAAAAAGAAGUGGAGGAUUUAUUUUACAAGUAUGGACGCAUAGCUCACAUUGAUCUCAAGGUUCCACCAAGACCUCCUGGUUAUGCAUUUGUUGAGUUCGAAGAUGCAGAAGAUGCUCAAGAUGCUAUUCGUGGUCGUGAUGGCUAUGAUUUUGAUGGGCACAGGUUACGUGUGGAACUUGCUCAUGGUGGUCGUGGUCAUUCUUCAUCUAGUGAUCGUUAUAGUAGUCAUGGAGGAAGCCGUGGUGGGCGUGGAGUAUCUAGGCGCUCUGAUUAUCGUGUAUUAGUCACAGGAUUACCUUCUUCCGCCUCAUGGCAAGAUUUAAAGGAUCACAUGCGGCGAGCUGGGGAUGUUUGUUUCUCCCAAGUGUUUCGUGAUGGUAGUGGAACUACAGGGAUCGUGGACUACACUAACUAUGAUGACAUGAAAUAUGCAAUUAAAAAACUUGAUGAUUCUGAGUUCCGAAAUGCAUUUUCUCGGUCAUAUGUUCGUGUGAGAGAAUAUGAUUCAAAGAGGGAUCUCUCCAGGAGCCCUAGUCGUGGGCGGUCACACUCUAGAGGGAGGAGUUAUAGUCGCAGUCGUAGUAGAGGCCGUAGUAGGAGCAAGAGCCGCAGUAGGAGCAAGUCUCCAAAAGCCAAAUCUUCCCAGCGGUCACCUGUUAAAUCCCGAUCGAGGUCUGCUUCCCCUGCUCGCUCCCGGUCAAAGUCAUCAUCUCUUUCAGGAUAUGGAAAUAUGCGGCAUACUGGGGAUUGGAUAUUAGGAUCUUGAUGGGAUAUGAUUCAAUUGCCUUCAAUGCUUUUGGUUGAGAAGAUUGGGAUCAAAGGAGAUCAUGGAUUGCAAAAAUAGAGCUGGAUAUCUUGAACUAAGUGCUAUUUGGACUUGGAAGUCAUCAUCACUUUCAUUUACAUUUUCUGCUGCAAGAUUUGCAAGCUAAUAGGACGCACUAUCUGGAUCCGUUGUGGACUUUUUUGAGGCACAGUAGGGAAGAAUGCUCCUAUCCCGUCCACUGGUGUCUAUAAUAUACAGUUUCCUGUAGAUUAAAGUACUUCUGAUUUUAGGUUCAUCACUGUUGGAGUCUUAAAUUUUAAAUUUGCACAAUAAUCUUCACAGUUGAACUACUAAAAUUACAAUUUUUCUUAUCUUACUUGUAUGAUGUUGAUGAGGCGUCAGGCUCUUGGAUCAAAAUUGGUAAAAGAGAUGUGGAUUUUAAAUUGAGUUGUUUCUGGACCUUUUGCAGAUCUCGAUCAAGAUCAAGAUCUCCACUGCCUAAUCGUGGCAAACGUACUAGUAAAAGUCCCAAAAGACGCGAUGCUAGCAAAAGCCCUAGCCGAAGCAAG